UCCUCAAUGAAAAUUGAAGCCCACUGGGAAAGUGAAGAAAAUCUCUUCAAUAAAGGCACACUGGACCACUGUGGUUGUGUCAUAAGGGCCCCUGACUAGCUCGGCUUGGUGUGCUUGCACACUCAGAACGGCAAUACCCACUCAGAAGGCUUCCUGCAUUCUCAUCAUCUCUAUGAGAUUCAUCUUGGCUGACAUGCGAGGUCUUCAGCAUUCCAUGGACUGAACUUUGUUGGGGGAGGCUGGCACUCUGGCAGCCCAGGAUCUGAGGAACACUCCUAUGCACAGAGCAACCAUGAGGUCCAAGUUUUGAAAGCACUGGAGAAAACGACCCACCGGACUGAAGCCCCUUCCGGGGAGGUGCUUGAGUGAAGACUCAGGAAAAAGGACUGCUACUCUAAUCAUCACCAAAGACCCCGAAAAAAUAAAACACCUGGAAACAAGGCUGGAAAUGUGUCUCCACGGAAACGCUACUUUUUCUGCAGGGCUGGGACAGCCAGGCAGGUGCUCUACCACUGAGCUCAUCCCCAGCCCACAGAAGCACCUCUUGGCUUACUGGUUCCAAUGCAAAACGGGGGUGGUAACAGCAGAUCUCUGAUGCUUUUCUGAAGACUUUAUUUAGAUCAGAAAAUAUGUUUUAUAGCAGUUUUCACUACUACCUUUUAGAACAACUUACAUUAAUACAA